rnacentral:misc_RNA from 1 species
GGUGAGAGUAUGAGAGAGGAAGAAACUGUCUUGUAGCUUAGAGUACUAAAGAAAACAAAAGAAAAUCGAAAUUGACAAUUUGAUAACAGUGAUUCUGCAUCACUUUUGGAUUUCCAAAAAUGGAAAAGAAAUGACUUAGACUAAGAAGUUGCAUCACGCAGCUGUUAUCUAAAUUUUCCUUUCCCACACGAAUAAUCCAGCCCAGAAAACCUAACGUUCAAACUUUGAACUUCUUUUCCUUUCCUCAAGUUACUCAGCGACCAAAGGACACUUAACGGUCAAGGCACUGCCACAACCAACCUACCUACAGAAGUUAACCACAAUAACCUCUGCAAAAGUCACGCUUAACUAAUAAUCAAAC